rnacentral:rRNA from 1 species
ACCGGCGCACGGGUGAGUAACACGUAUGCAACCUGCCUGUAAGCGGGGGAUAACCCGGAGAAAUCCGGACUAAUACCGCAUAAGACUUUAGUUCUGCAUGGGACAGAAGUUAAACAUUUAUGGCUUACAGAUGGGCAUGCGUAUGAUUAGCUAGUUGGAGAGGUAAUGGCUCCCCAAGGCAACGAUCAUUAGGGGUUCUGAGAGGAAGGUCCCCCACACUGGUACUGAGACACGGACCAGACUCCUACGGGAGGCAGCAGUGAGGAAUAUUGGUCAAUGGGCGAGAGCCUGAACCAGCCAAGUCGCGUGAAGGAAGAAUGUCCUAUGGAUUGUAAACUUCUUUUUUAGGGGAAUAAAGUGCACCACGUGUGGUGUUUUGUAUGUACCCUACGAAUAAGGAUCGGCUAACUCCGUGCCAGCAGCCGCGGUAAUACGGAGGAUCCAAGCGUUAUCCGGAUUUAUUGGGUUUAAAGGGUGCGCAGGCGGGAUAAUAAGUCAGUGGUGAAAGUUUGCAGCUUAACUGUAAAAUUGCCGUUGAAACUGUUAUUCUUGAGUGCAGACAAGGUAGGCGGAAUGUAUUGUGUAGCGGUGAAAUGCUUAGAUAUAAUACAGAACCCCGAUUGCGAAGGCAGCUUACCGGACUGUAACUGACGCUCAGGCACGAAAGCGUGGGGAUCAAACAGGAUUAGAUACCCUGGUAGUCCACGCA